UACGUAGGGUGCGAGCGUUAAUCGGAAUUACUGGGCGUAAAGCGUGCGCAGGCGGCGCGUUAAGACAGGUGUGAAAGCCCCGAGCUUAACUUGGGAAUUGCGCUUGUGACUGGCGUGCUGGAGUGUGGCAGAGGGAGGUGGAAUUCCACGUGUAGCAGUGAAAUGCGUAAAGAUGUGGAGGAACACCGAUGGCGAAGGCAGCCUCCUGGGCCAGCACUGACGCUCAUGCACGAAAGCGUGGGGAGCAAACAGG
rnacentral:rRNA from 1 species